rnacentral:snoRNA from 1 species
CCAAAAGAGAACCCCGGGCUCUGUCCAGGUGGCACAGGGGAGCAUAGGACUCUUGCCCCGUGAUGUACAGUCCCUUUCCACAACAUUGGAGAAGAAGCUGGGCCUUGUGUCUGCGCCUGCAUAUUCCUACAACUUCUCAGCGUCCUUUGGGCAGUGACUGAGGAGAUAAACCAUGCAGGAACAAUGU